UGACGAGUGGCGGACGGGUGAGUAAUGCAUAGGAAUCUGCCUUGUAGUGGGGAAUAGCUUGGGGAAACUCAAGAUAAUACCGCAUAAGAACUAAGGUUGAAAGCUGGGGAUCUUCGGACCUGGCGCUACAAGAUGAGCCUAUGUUGGAUUAGCUAGUUGGUGGGGUAAAGGCCUACCAAGGCGACGAUCCAUAGCUGGUCUGAGAGGAUGAUCAGCCACACUGGGACUGAGACACGGCCCAG
rnacentral:rRNA from 1 species